AAGUCAAGAGUAUAAAAAAGCAGGGAACAAUUCUUUUUUUCAAUAUAUUCUUUAAAUUUCCAAGUUAUAAUUUUUAAAAUUCAAUCAUGAAAGUUUUAUCAACUUGUUUGGUAGCAGCAGUUUUAGUUAUUUGCUGGGCUACAUUAGGAGAGGCUAAAGUAACACAAAUUAAACGUAAAAUGUCGGAAACAGGACGUGGAGCAGUCGGAUAUGGAGUUUAGCGUGUAAAGAUGAGUCGUCUUAUUAAAAAUGGAACUUAAAUUUCAUAAAGAGGACACAAUUUCUUCAACAGUUAAUUGUGUAUAAUUAUUUAAAUGAAUAAAAUAAUUUAAUUAAA